rnacentral:lncRNA from 1 species
CCGCUUAUAUUGAAAAGCUAGAAAUACCUUGAAAAUUACAACAUUCCUUGGCAGAUUUACAGUACAAAUAAAUUCAAGAGAACUCGAUAGAGAAAUGCAAAAAUUAAUGACAACCACUGAAUUACAGGCUCCUGAUUAGGAACAGGCACAUACCAUGCAUACCUAAUGCAGUGGGAUUUUUCAUUUAUAAAUUACAAAACGUGAAUAUCCAUGUCUUUAUUUUCUUGUUAUGUCUUUAUGUUCACUGUCCCUAUGCUUCUGGCUUUGCCUUUCCUGUUUUCCCAUUCUGUGAAGCGUUGCAUUCCAUAUUUCAAUAUAUCCAUCAUUUUGUAAACAGUUAUCAUUAAUCUCAAGUACAAGAAUACCAGAUAAAGAUAUCGUAAUUGAAAACUCGGUACGAUU